UCUCCGUAGGUGAACCUGCGGAGGGAUCAUUACAGAGUUCUCGCCCUCGCGGGUAGAUCUCCCACCCACUGUUAUCGUUACUGUGUUGCUUUGGCGGGCCGCCGGGCCCCGCUCGGCCGCCGGCUCCGGCUGGCGCGCGCCCGCCAGAGGCCCAGCAAACUCUGAAUGUUAGUGUCGUCUGAGUACUAUAUAAUAGUUAAAACUUUCAACAACGGAUCUCUUGGUUCCG
rnacentral:misc_RNA from 1 species